UGAGCAAUCUGCCCUUCUCAUCGGAAUAAGCGUUGGAAACGACGUCUAAUGCCGAAUACGACCUCCUUUCGCAUGAUCGGAGGUGGAAAGCUCCGGCGGAGAAGGAUGAGCUCGCGGCCUAUCAGCUAGUUGGUGUGGGUAAUGGCCCACCAAGGCGACGACGGAUAGGCCGGCCUGAGAGGGUGACCGGCCACACUGGGACUGAGACACGGCCCAGACUCCGUAGGGAG
rnacentral:rRNA from 1 species